rnacentral:sRNA from 1 species
UAUCUUCAAUGUUUAUGGAUCUUAGAAUGCAGUUGUUGGCUUUUUAAAAAAAAUUUUAUGAAAAACAUGUUAAAUUUCUUUCAUUCUUUGUAAGUUAUACAGACUAAUAUUCCAGGAAGAAAAAUAAAAUAAAAUGUGCUUAUUUAACUUGAAGGAAAGUGCCCGCCUUCUUGCAUAUUUGCAAGAAUAAGCAUUUAGUCAAUAAUCGGUCAUCUUCAACACUUCUUACAAAUAAACUAGAUUUUGUAGUCUAUUGCAAGUCAGCAUUUCUCACUGGCUAUGAUGGAGAUGGACUUGGGAUCCUAGGAAGAAGGCCCGGAAACGACAUUUCUUCUCCUUUUAUGAUUUCAGUGAAGAAUGCAAAUUGCACAUCAGAUUUUGAGGAAUACUUUGCCAAAAGAAAACUGGAGGAACGCGAUGGUCAUGCAGUCAGCAUCGAGGAGUACCUUCAGCGCAGUGACACAGCCAUUAUUUACCCAGAAGCCCCUGAGGAGCUGUCUCGCCUUGGCACGCCAGAGGCCAAUGGGCAAGAAGAAAAUGACCUGCCACCUGGAACUCCAGAUGCUUUUGCCCAACUGCUGACCUGCCCCUACUGCGACCGGGGCUACAAGCGCUUGACAUCACUGAAGGAGCACAUCAAGUACCGCCACGAGAAGAAUGAAGAGAACUUUUCCUG